rnacentral:misc_RNA from 1 species
UUUCCGUAGGUGAACCUGCGGAGGGAUCAUUACAGAGUUCAUGCCCUACCGGGUAGAUCUCCCACCCUAUGUUUUUAUUACUUUGUUGCUUCGGCGGGCCGUUAGGCUCCGGCCGGCCUACCGGCCCCGGCUGGUAAGCGCCCGCCAGAGGACCCAAAACCCUGAAUAUUAGUGUCGUCUGAGUACUAUAUAAUAGUUAAAACUUUCAACAACGGAUCUCUUGGUUCUG